rnacentral:rRNA from 1 species
CUGGGUAAGCCCACGGCGCGAGAGCGCUGCGGGAAAAACAUGGCCUCUGUUUACAUGCUAUGGCACGGGGAUGGGCCUGCGGACUAUCAGCUAGUUGGUGGGGUAACGGCCUACCAAGGCGAUGACGGUUAGCCGGCUUGAGAGAGUGUACGGCCACACUGGAACUGAGACACGGUCCAGACUCCUACGGGAGGCAGCAGUAGGGAAUUUUCCGCAAUGGGCGCAAGCCUGACGGAGCAAUGCCGCGUGAGGGAAGAAGGCCUUCGGGUCGUAAACCUCUUUCGUUUGGGAAGAAAGCGUUGGACAAGAAACGGUCCAGCGUUGACGGUACCGGAGGAAGAAGCCCCGGCUAAUUACGUGCCAGCAGCCGCGGUAAUACGUAAGGGGCAAGCGUUGUCCGGAAUCACUGGGCGUAAAGGGCGCGUAGGCGG